UGCCAGCAGCCGCGGUAAUACGAAGGGUGCAAGCGUUGCUCGGAAUUAUUGGGCGUAAAGGGUAGGUAGGUGGUCUCGUUUGUCUGAUGUGAAAUCCCUAAGCUUAACUUAGGACGUGCAUUGGAAACGGCGAGACUAGAGUUCUGGAGAGGCUAGCAGAAUUCCGGGUGUAGCGGUGAAAUGCGUAGAGAUCCGGAGGAAUACCAGAGGCGAAGGCGGCUAGCUGGACAGAUACUGACACUCAGCUACGAAAGCGUGGGGAGCAAACAGGAUUAGAUA
rnacentral:rRNA from 1 species